rnacentral:lncRNA from 1 species
AUGUCAACCCUUGUGUUGUGGAAUUACAGGUACAGUUCCAUCUAUACAUCCCUAGAGCUGACACCACCUCAGUACCCCUGCUUAAGAAGGACUAGGUCACCUCAUAUAUUAGGAAAAAUAACCACCAAUAAGUAUUACCAUGAUAUAUUUGAUAUCAGUAAAUAUUUAACAUGGAGAUAUUCAAACUGAAUAUGGAGCAAGCCUACAAUUAAAAUCCUAAAUUUGUGUUAAUUACAUCUUGAUUAAAUAGAAGAAAAUCUUACUUAUUUUAACUAAAUAAAAGCACAAAACUAUUUAUUUUGUGUUCUAUUGUAAAUUUAUGUUUGUAAUUUUAAAGUUCUAUUGUCUUUUUAAUUGCCUUUUGUUAAUAUGUUUAUUAUCUUUUGGAUGCUUCUUUAGUCUU